GUCCCGCAGAGAUCUUUGAACUUGGUACAUUUAUCCGUUGGAGAACAAUAUUAACACUUUAUCGGAAAUCUUUUCUUUGGGUAAUUGACGGGUUGAGGAGGAAAAAGAAAUGACCCACGUCCCUUACUCUACAUUAAAGUGACAGGAUCAUUUGGCCAUGCUUCCAAGUGUUCAGGACUUUAACCUAUUUGUAAUCUUGGAUAUGGAUGGUUGAUGACAGGUGUUUUUGCCACAGUAAAAUCUCUUAAUAUUUGUGGCAUAUUUUUCUCAGGCCCAGGAUUCAUGUCUAUCAUAUACUAGGCAUUCCAGGGGACUAGGGGGACAGGAAGCAGUCUUUUUGUAAUCCAAUUUCCCCUUAGGUGGCUGUUGUCAGAGGACCCACAGAAGACUGGCAGAAAUAUAUGUUGUGACUGGAAAGGCAAGAUAUCAGAAUAUUGUCAAGGGAGGGGCACUGAGCGAUGAAUCUGAUGCUUGAAUACUUGGGCGGCUUUCUUGAUCAGUUUGGCAAGUUGGUUUUAGGCGGGCGGUGAUAAGUAGGGCAUGGCUGGGCUUGGUGGAAUUUAGACACUAGGGAAUCUUGAUUUAGUUUGUGGAACAGAUUUAGGGUUGGAGAUGUCUGAGGCGGCUUUCUCUAGGAUCGUGAACAUUGACUCCACUUCCUACCGCUGUUGCUAUGUACUGGGCAAGCAAGUUGAGCAGUUUCCAGCAAGGGCUGGUUGAUUUUGAUUCACGGCCCACUAUCAAGAAAGUGAAUGGAUGGCUCAGGAGUGGCUUUCAGUUGCUGUGGUAGGGGUAUGAGGUGGGGCUGGGGUAUAGACCUCAAUUCCUGUCCCUCCCCAUGAUCCACUUCUAGCUAGGACCUCCCCGCUAAUGGUUGUACAAUCUCCCCGAAACCAGCAUUGACAGCUGUUCAGACCCAUGCGCCCAUGUGUGAUGGAUUCCCAUUCAAAACCCAACUCACUCCAAGCCAUAACUACUCCAAGCUGAAGUAGAUUGAGCUUAAAAGGCUGGCCUUUGAAGGUGUGAUUUCUGCAUAGUUCAUGUCUUUUGCAAAGCGUUUCUAUAUAGUUUCUUUGGCAUGUUGUGGCUCCACUCCUCAACUUAUGGAUGCACUUAAGACUAUAGAAUACUCCGGAUGCUUGUGGUUCCUGGUUUACACCACUGAACAAAGGCUCUGUGGUCUUUUCUUCUCCCAUCUUUGGAAUUAACAUUUGGAGUUGCUCAGCAAGAUCAAGACCUCAACUCAAAUUCAGAAAGUCAGAGGGUAGACUUUGCCCUCUUGCUUUUGGGGAUUGAAGAGCCUGGAAGGCGUGCACCUUAGAGAUAAGAAUGGCAUAAAAAAAACAAAACAAAAAACAAAACCCAAGUACCGUAAAUGAUAGAAACUUAAAAAUUUUUUUUUUCCUGUGACAUCUGGUUUCUGGUUCUGACCUGGUUUUAUGAGAUCCUAAUCUGGGGACAUAGGGAGUCUGACGAGGUCUGGAAUUCCUCCGUCCGUGGCAAAAGGAGGUCCAAUGGUCUGCUGGCCAUUUAGAGUUAAUUGGAAAAUUGGCCAGAGUGACCAGUUCUUUUUCUGAUCUGGCUUGGGACACUUCAGAUGCCCUGGUGAUACUAUGGACUGAGAAAACCAGAGAGGCCCGGCACCUGAAUGGACCCCCGUUGGCAGGGUUUCGAGGCCUAGGGUGUCAACAGAGCUGAGGGCCAGAAAGCUGAGUGAUCAGAAGAGCCACUGGAGCAAGAGUGAGGUGGAGGUGUGUCCAAACUCGGAAAAUCUCAGCCUGAGACUGGAAGGAGUAGAACUGCUUCGUCCUUGCUCGGGGCCUGCAUGUCCUUGCGCUUGUAAGCUUCCAACACCCACCUCUCUCGGCCCUUGAGGUAGUCAAGUACCUGCGUAGCCAAAUUACAGGUUAAACUCUCACUAUACGGACUGUCUGUCCAGCAAACACCUGGAAUUUCUCUUCAUGCAAAUGAAGCAUUCCUAGUACCUCAGCCCCAGACAAUGAUGUGCACUCACCCCGAAAAUCCCUAUCCACCCCCUCUUUUUUUUACUCCCAAUAAAGGAAAGCUGUUUCACUAAAA
rnacentral:lncRNA from 1 species